UGGGUUUUUUUGGUUUUAAUUUUUUUAACAAAUAGUGUAGCCGCGCGGUUGAAACUUCACCCAAAUGCAGCAGAUGCUUCAGAUUUUAUUUCUUCUUCAUAGAUAGAGCAGCACAAGAUGCUUCGGGAUGGAAUACUGUGGUGCUUGGGCGGAGGUGCUCUUUUCCUUCUUGGCUGUCACAUUGACAGGCAUGUUGAUCGUCUCCUUUGAAAAGAUUCUAGCUUCUUCUUUCAAAAGAUUCUAGCUUUAUGUUUAACAGAGCUCACGAACAAAUAAUGAAGCACGUAAACUUGAAUCGGUCCGUCGGAUUAGGGAGUUGAAGGAUUUUGUCGGGUUGCUGAGAUACGAAUGCCGAGUUGUUGUUGCCGUUAGAGGCAGGGUGUGCUCAGCAACUCCCAUUAACUGUGAAAUGAGUGGUUUACAAGGUAUAAUUGUGGAGCAGAGGGCAGAGCAGUAUUUCCUGGAACGCAUCAAGAACAUGGAUAAGGACGAGGAUAAGGACAGGGAUGAUAUAUGGAUGAAGACUCAUAAACUCUUGCAUUCUACCACACAAGAAGUCCCAAUUUACUCUCUCUCUCUCUCUCUCUCUCUCUCUCUCUCUCUCUCUCAACCAUGGUGUGUUCAUUUUUGCGUCGGAUUGAGGAAAUUUUAUAUUUGGUUCACUUCAGGAUGAUGGGACUUUUCGUGUGAACGUGGUGGGAGCUCGAAGUGCCAGCGGGUUUUACUGCCCAGCUGAAAAUGCAGUAUUUAAAGGGUCAAAGAAAAGCUGGCCUGGAAUUGAGACAGUGGCUGAUCUCGAAAACCUUCCUUCCAUAACAAAAGGGUAGAAAGACCGCAAGGUCCUUGGAGUCCAACGAAUUGAGCUUGUACUUCCAGUUGGUACUUCUUUGAGUGUUGUUGGUGAUCCUUGGAUGAACUUAGUAUGAAACCAUAAACUGCUUUACUAGGCUGUCAAAGAUGGCAAUGGUACCAUUUCGAUUUGGGCAGCAUAUGGAGGACCAUUUUAUGUCUCUCCCCAUACCGUUGAUCAGCUCACUGGAGACAGGAGGAUGUGGGCAAGAUUAGUUGUAUGAAUCCCUGAAUGCAUACAAACAUGUGGUAGCGUGUGUGUAUGUUUGCGACAUUUGUUCGUUUGCUGCUGCUUGUGUCAUGUGCAUCUCUUCCUCCAUGUGUGCUUUCUCUAAACUCCAAACUAAUGUAGAUGUCUUUCAUUGCUAGCUUCUGCUACGUUGCAGCUUUCGGUUUGACUGUGUAUGGUGCUGUCCAGAUUGCUAAGCAUUCUAUAUGAUUCAUCAUGGAAACAAAGCCCCGUUGAGAGAAAUUGCAGAGAAUGUCGAUGAUUGGAUCAUAGUUUUGAGAAUUUGAAGGCCUUUAAUUGUUCUUUUUUGUACUCUCAAUCUGACUCUGUUAUGUGGUGCAACUGUGCCAAUGGCCCUCAACUUUUUGCUUAUGAAUGUAAAUUUGCAACUUCUAAAACUUUUUAGUGUAACGGCACCAUUCUUUUUGAGGUUGAAAGUGGUCUGAGUAAAUUUUGUGUCCUCUCACGUUUAUCUCUCAUGUGCUGGUCACGUGAUCAGUUAUUGUAAGAGGAACGUUGUAUACACAUUUGUAUGUAGAAUUUUUUUCUAUUCA